rnacentral:lncRNA from 1 species
CUCCAACAUCGUUAAAAAUGAUCAAAUACGGAACAUAUCGGCGUGCGCAGGCCAGAGCGCUGAAGCUCGGCGCGCAUCAUUAUUAUACAGCUAGGGCGCAUGCGGAGGACACACACACACACACACACACACACACACAAAAUAUACUUGUUUUCAAUUACAUUUAUUGUGCCCACUUACUUUUUCUUAGGCCCACCCACAAAUGAGUUUCUGGCUACACUAAUGGUGACAUAUGACAGACUUCUCUGAGCUCCGCAGCCAUUACACUUUUCACCUCGCGCACCCCCUAGCGGCAGCUCGCGCACCCCUGGACCACACUUAGGGAAUCCCUGCUUUAAUGAACCACUGGCAGCACCUUAAACAUUUCUUUUGAUUUCGAUUCUUUUAGUUUUUUUCUAUACAUUUUAUCCAUCAGAGUAGAGAAAUGUAGUCUUGGAUCAUUACAAAGUGGAAGUCUGAAUGUAGGCAGCAGCGAUGAAGUUACAGCCGCUCCUUUUUCUCUUUCAGAUGUAAAAUUUGCCACGCCACUCUUUUAUUUGAUUCCCGUCAUGCUGGCUCUUUGAUGUGUUCCUCCCACGUAAAAGACUCUAAAACCGCUUGUGCUGACCCCAGUCAACGAUUCAGAUCCCCUGAGAAUAAACCCAGAAGUGAGUCUGGGGCGGGUUUUCCAGCCCUCUGCUCUUUGGAUGGACUGCCCAUCACCAACGUUCCUCGUUACGCUCAGAAAGCGGAAUCACAAGACAGACCAGGAGCAGGUGAGAGCAGAGCGGCGAUAGAUGGAGAAGACUCGACUCAGAGCAGCGUUAGAGGAGGAAGAGGGGAACACACGCAUUGUGCAGACAGGAAGGCCCAACAGGAUGCAGUAAAGAUCUCUUGUUCGGUGACAGAAGGAAGUAUUUAUCCUGUUCCAGCACCCAGACGAAGUUUAGACUCCUCUACGGUCUCUGUUCCUGCUCCCAGAGCCAAAACAAUGAGCAGCUCCCCUAGUGCAGAGAUUUCAAAAAAUCAAAGUAAAUCACCUGGUUUGCAUGUCGCGGGCCCUAAAGUGAAAUCCAACCAUCCCUGGAUGGCCAUCGUGCACCCCGGUCCGUGGUCACAGCUCCCGCCAGCUCCACCUCCAGUACCUCUCCCUCGGUCCAAAUCGACCCCUUACUCAUGGGGAUCAUCAAGCAGACCCAAAAUGCCUCCUCCCAAUCCGUUUGAAGAGGAGGAGCUCCUAGAGGAAGCUGCCACACCCGAGGAGACCUCUGCAGCCGCCGUCCAAUCGGAAAACGGUGAUGUAGUUGGUUCAAGUGAUGCCAAAGGUCCUGUCACUGAAUCUGAGCUGAAUACAGAUCAAACAGCGUAUUCUGAAGGGGGGUGUGGAGGUAAAGAAGUUGAAUCAGAAGCAGCGACCCCCACAGAGGGAGGAUCAGCUGGCCAGAUUGGUAAGACUGAAACAGCAGGGCAUUUUUUCAGAUUCAGGACUCGAUCAGAAUUUAUCCAGAAGCCUUUCUGUCUCAGAGAUCACACCUGA